rnacentral:sRNA from 1 species
CCCAGGGCUGCCGCCCUGGGCUAAUAUGACAUGCGCCGUUGGCGCA